rnacentral:rRNA from 1 species
AGCAGCCGCGGUAAAUUCCAGCUCCAAUAGCGUAUAUUAAAGUUGUUGCAGUUAAAAAGCUCGUAGUUGAAUUUCGGGGUUUAUCCGUUGGUCGGGCUUUUGGGUCUGUACUGGCGUGAUGGAUUCCUACCUUCUGAAUAACCAGCAUGUCAUUAAUUUGGUGCGUUGGGGAAGCAGGACUGUUACCUUGAAAAAAUUAGAGUGCUUAAAGCAGGCUAUUGCCUGAAUACAUUAGCAUGGAAUAAUGAAAUAGGACGCAUGGUUCUAUUUUGUUGGUUUCUAGGAUCACCGUAAUGAUUAAUAGGGAUAGUUGGGGGCAUUAGUAUUCAAUUGUCAGAGGUGAAAUUCUUGGAUUUAUUGAAGACUAACUUCUGCGAAAGCAUUUGCCAAGGAUGUUUUC